CUUGGAGCCCGCCCCCAUCGCGGGGCCGUCUGGGAAGUGUAGUCCGAGUCCCGCUCCGUCCCGCUGAGGUACUUGCCCUUGGUUCCCAGGUCCCUCAGGAGGCGCUCCCUCCCCGCACUCCUUCCCUCUGCCUUUCCUUUCCCGCUGCCAAGAUCUUGGAAGCUUUGUAGCUCAGCAAAGAAGGGAAAUCCAUUGAGAGCAGUCCGUAAAGGUAAGUGUAUUUAUUGCAUGGCCUUGACAAACAUUGCCUUUACAACAUUGAUUUUCCUUUUAUUCAGAGAUUUAAACACUUGGAUUAAAGAUAUAGCUGACAGGACAACUUCCUUAACCACCUGCUUGUCCUCUGUCAUAGGCAAAAGUGCUGAGCAAUAGUUAGCAG
rnacentral:lncRNA from 1 species